rnacentral:misc_RNA from 1 species
CAAGAAUCGAGACCUGACGUGCCGACUCCUAGCUCCGUCCAGGCCCGCUCUCUACCUUGCCUACUGCACCGUUUGUUGCUUCCUGGCGGCGGACUGCCCGUCGCCAGGGCCGUUUGAAAACCAUGUAUAGAAGCAUUGAAGCUUCUGAGCAUACACGGAAAUCAUA